UACAGAGGUCUCAAGCGUUGUUCGGAUUCACUGGGCGUAAAGGGUGCGCAGGUGGGUUGGCAAGUUUGAUGUGAAAGCCCCGGGCUUAACCCGGGAAUGGCAUUGAAUACUGCUGAUCUGGAGGAUUGGAGGGGGGACUGGAAUUCUUGGUGUAGCAGUGAAAUGCGUAGAUAUCAAGAGGAACACCAGUGGCGAAGGCGACUUUCUGGCCUGUUCUUGACGCUGAGGCGCGAAAGCUAGGGGAGCAAACGGG
rnacentral:rRNA from 1 species